rnacentral:lncRNA from 1 species
CAAGGUCAGGAGAUCGAAACCAUCCUGGCUAACACAGUGAAACCCUGUCUCUACUAAAAAUACAAAAAAUUAGCCGGGCAUGGUGGCGGGCGCCUGUAGUCCCAGCUACUCGGGAGGCCAAGGCUGGAGAAUGGCGUGAAUCCAUGAGGCGGAGCUUGCAGUGAGCCGAGAUUGUACCACUGCACUCCAGCCUGGGGACAGACUCCCUCUCAAAAAAAAAAAAAGAAAAAAGCAAAUAAAACAGAGUAUAAUAAUGAAAUAUUGUAUAAUGAUAACAUGAUAGCAUUUGAGGAAGUGUCAAAUAAACAGCAUAGAAAUUUAGAGUGAUGUAGAAGUUCCACUGGAAACUGUUGUGGACUGGUGUGUUAAAGAGAGCUUUGUAAAACCAAUUUAGGCUCUACUUUGUAGCAAGAGGAGUAAUUAAUGUAGGUGAAGAGGUAAAGAAGGAUCUUGGGUCUGGGUAAGAAUGAAAGGAUGUAAAGAAAGAAGUUAUCCUUUAUAACUUGAACUAUAGAUCUGUUAUGUAAGCGGAAAAUAUGAAGGGCUGGUGCUGUGGUUUGAAUGUGUCCCCCAAUGUUCAUAUGUUAGAAACUUAAAUUCUGGCAUGAGCCACCAUGCCUGGCCCCAGAACGACAUUUGUUAUCCAGUACUUGUUGACCAUAUACUUAUAUUCCAGGUACUAUUUAGGUGAUGAGGAUAGCAUAGAGCAAAAUACAAAAAUACCCUUGUAGAGCUUGUAUUCAUAUGAUGCUAAAUUGGGGCAAAUCUUUAAGUAAUAACUUAAAGUGGGCAAGAUAGUAACCAAGAUGAAGUAUAAAUAAAUAAAAUAUCAAGAGCAGCCAUGUGUGAGGCAGUUUUUGAGAUGCCAUAACUGGGAGGAGAUUGACAUUUGAGAAAAGAUGACAGCUGCACUCAGGGAGCACUUGUUUGGCAUCUACUUACUGAACAUCUGCAAUGGGCAUGUGUUGGGCCCUUCACAUGCAUUAUCUCAGAUCGUGACGACAACCCUUUCAGGUUGGUGGAUAUGUCUUUCAUUUCAUAGAUGAGAAAAUCGAACAUUGGAAAAAUGAAAUCAUAGCAAGUAAGUGGCAUGGCUGACAUUUGAAUCAGCUGACGUCAGAAAGUAUAAGAGUAUGUGAAUAGUUAACAGUAAAAGUGAUUUAUUACAGGAGCAAUCAUAGGACUACCAAUGAUUAAUUUCUGAAGAAUUUUAUAGAUAGGUACCCUAGGAGCUCAGGGAAGGGAAAAGAAGUUGCUGCAUGUUAGAGUGGUCUGGGAAGAUGUCCUAGUAGAAGAUGGUUUGACCUGGAUCUUGAAGGAGG